AAUACUGGGUUAUUUUAUUAACCCAACCACUGGGUCGAGGCUGGUUAACCCUGUAUUAUGUAUAUUCAACCCAUAUUGGGUAACUUUCAGUAACCCAGUUGUUGGGUUAAUGGUUUUGGACUGUUCCUCAAUCUUCCUUGAUCUGAAUAACCCAACCAGUGAUCAUUUUAACCCAGUGGUUUGGUCACCUUCAAGUUUGGGUUCCCUCCUUUUUCUUUUCCUCCGAGGCGGGAGACCACUUCUGGAAACGCUUAAGCGAUUGAAUAUGGAUGACUUUGUUAAACUAAAGUUACCAGAAUGGCAACUUCUGGAGCUGAUGGACCAUUUUGCAGGCUCCAGAGACUACAUUUCCCUGAUGGUUCUGCCAAGCCUGAUGCCACCUGCAGUCUUCAGGAUGGGCCUGAAAGACCGUGAGGUCUACAGUGUCUGACGCCAUGAAGGCCUUCAUCGAUCUUAAGCCUGUCGGAACAAACAUGGUGGAGUACCUUCAGGCAGCAGACCAGACCAGGC